rnacentral:lncRNA from 1 species
CUGAGUUGGGAAGGGACGCACGCUGCUCUCCCAGACCACCAGCCUGACUUUGGAUGGCUCUCUCGUUAGGUGUUGUCCCUUACACUGGGCAACAGUCUGCUACCCUGCAACUCGGCUCGUCCUCUACAGCACGAUCAAGUACAAUAAAGCCACAAUCCAUGCAGGGAUUUGUUGUUAAAGCAGGCAGACAAGGAUUUGGAAGAAGAAAGAUCUGGAAGAAGAACAAGAACAGGAAGAAGGAGGAGGAGGUGGAGGUCAAAACCACUGCGCUAGCCCACAGUGGAAGAUCAACAUGAAAGAGCGCUGCAGGCGCAAGAGGUCUCAAGGCUGGGACUACGCAAGUCAUCAUUCUCAAGAAACAGACAGAGGAGGAUAAGCAGACCUGGAGGACCAUUCCCGAGUUUGUUUGGGGUACACUGAGUGUGCUGACAAGGCAUCCAUAUGGAGCUUCCGGCUCACCUGACUACCUGGCAGUGGUCAGCAU